GCGAAAACUAUACAAUGCUGGCAACAGCGAUAAGGGAACCUCGAGUGCCAGGUUACAAAUCUGGCUGUCGAGAUGCCUAAAAAGCAUUUCAUAGCAAGGGCCGGGCAAGACCGGUGCCAGCCGCCGCGGUAACACCGGCGGCUCGAGUGGUAACCGUUAUUAUUGGGUCUAAAGGGUCUGUAGCCGGCCGGAUAAGUCUCUUGAGAAAUCUGGCAGCUUAACUGUCAGGCUUUCAGGAGAUACUGUCUGGCUCGAGGCCGGGAGAGGUGAGAGGUACUGCAGGGGUAGUGGUGAAAUCUUGUAAUCCUUGAAGGACCACCAGUGGCGAAGGCGUCUCACCAGAACGGACCUGACGGCAAGGGACGAAAGCUAGGGGCACGAACC
rnacentral:rRNA from 1 species